rnacentral:rRNA from 1 species
ACUCCGGGUCGGCCGUCGAUACUUCCGGGCUUGAGCACUGUAGAGGCAGAUGGAAUUCCGGGUGUAGCGGUGGAAUGCGUAGAGAUCCGGAAGAACACCGGUGGCGAAGGCGGUCUGCUGGGCAGUUGCUGACGCUGAUGCGCGACAGCGUGGGGAGCAAACAGGAUUAGAUACCCUGGUAGUCCACGCCGUAAACGAUGGGCACUAGGUGCUUGGGGGAGCGACCCUCUGAGUGCCGGCGCUAACGCAUUAAGUGCCCCGCCUGGGGAGUACGGCCGCAAGGCUGAAACUCAAAGGAAUUGACGGGGGCCCGCACAAGCGGUGGAGCAUGUGGUUUAAUUCGACGCAACGCGAAGAACCUUACCUAGGCUUGACAUACACGGGAAAGCCCUGAGAAACCAGGGCCCUCC